UAUAAUGGGUCAGCGACUUAUAUUCUGUAGCAAGGUUAACCGAAUAGGGGAGCCGAAGGGAAACCGAGUCUUAACUGGGCGUUAAGUUGCAGGGUAUAGACCCGAAACCCGGUGAUCUAGCCAUGGGCAGGUUGAAGGUUGGGUAACACUAACUGGAGGACCGAACCGACUAAUGUUGAAAAAUUAGCGGAUGACUUGUGGCUGGGGGUGAAAGGCCAAUCAAACCGGGAGAUAGCUGGUUCUCCCCGAAAGCUAUUUAGGUAGCGCCUCGUGAAUUCAUCUCCGGGGGUAGAGCACUGUUUCGGCAAGGGGGUCAUCCCGACUUACCAACCCGAUGCAAACUGCGAAUACCGGAGAAUGUUAUCACGGGAGACACACGGCGGGUGCUAACGUCCGUCGUGAAGAGGGAAACAACCCAGACCGCCAGCUAAGGUCCCAAAGUCAUGGUUAAGUGGGAAACGAUGUGGGAAGGCCCAGACAGCCAGGAUGUUGGCUUAGAAGCAGCCAUCAUUUAAAGAAAGCGUAAUAGCUCACUGGUCGAGUCGGCCUGCGCGGAAGAUGUAACGGGGCUAAACCAUGCACCGAAGCUGCGGCAGCGACGCUGAUGCGUUGUUGGGUAGGGGAGCGUUCUGUAAGCCUG
rnacentral:rRNA from 1 species